AAUAGUAAGACGUCAUGGCUGGUAUUUGAGCGGCUCCCAUGGGCUGUCAAGUCUUUGUCACAUGUUCCACUCAUUAUUUGACAGAAACCCUUCUGUGAUUGUAUCUUUCUCAGUUUGUAAAGCUGAAUUUUUAGUCCAGUUUCUCUGACUGAUCGCACGUGAAGUCCCAAGUGGUGUCAAAGCAGGAAAAAACAAGUGAUGGGAGUUGCCUUAGCAUUAAACACAUUACUGAGAUGAUUGUGUAUUAAAUGGACUCAGGUUUUUCCUUGUUUUAGCAGCCACAUCCACCCACUUUACGUCAGGAGAGGAAGCCUGUGUAUUUCCUCCCCUUCUUUAUCUAAAAGGAAGUGCCAAAAUAAGCAUCGUUGGUGGAGCGCCCCCAAGCUCGGACACCUUUCACACUGACCACUCCAGUCCAUGGGAGAAGUCAGAGAGGUUCCAGACCACAGAAGCACCAUGAAGUCCAUCAGGAAUCCUGUCUUCCUCCUGCUGCUGCCUCUGCUGGCAUCCGUCCACGUCUUCGCACAAGGUGCUGAUGAUACGCCUACUCAGAGCAUUAAUGAGAUGCAGCCAACAGAGGCAGUAACAUCAGCGGAGCAGAUAACCACCACAGCACCAGCACCCCUACAGACGACAGUGGCAACAGCAGCCUCUGCUCCUCACAUCCAGACGACCUCUGACAGCAUUAAAGCACAUUCCACACCGGCUGUGACACCUCCACCUACACCAACAGCUACAGCUAUAGCGCGGCAGCCUGCGACCACUCUGUCUACAGUUUCUUCCCAUACUGACAAGGAAGCGGUGGAGACCAGCACAGGGACCGUGAUCAGGCCGAGUGAGACUCCAGGACCUGAAGACUCCACUAAGAAAACCGAAGAGGGUACAACUGCUUUCGUCACAGUGCAUCAUCCCACACAUCCCACCAUGAUCUCAGUAGAGCAGAAGAAAGAGGCUAAUGAGAACGAUGCAGGUCCUCAGACAGGCAGUGACGAGAAGACACCCCCCAAAUCGGAUAAAAGGCUGUGGUGGAUCCUGCUGCCCGCCCUCCUGGUUCUAGGGGUUCUUGCUAUUGUCCUCAACUUCAAAUGCAAGAAGGUUCACGAUCACACAGAAACCAUUGACACUGGGACCGAGAAUGCAUCUUUUCAGAGCAGACCCGAAAGCACCAAAGAUGGCGUCAUGCUCCUGGGAGUGAAGUCAUCAGGUGGAGAAGAAAACGGUGAGUUCCUUCUGUUUGUGUUUUCUCCUCCAUCACCUGGUGAAGCUGUCUAUCUCCAGACACAAGCUUACAGGGAAGUUACAAGUCUUUUAAUAUCUCAUUGUACUGCACAGGCUUUUGGGGCUUUGCUGGGCAACAGAAGGUGUUUCCUGUGAUUUUUGCGCCCCCGCCCUCAAACAAGCAGCCGGGCUUGAAAGAUAGGGACUUCCUAACAUAAACACUGAUUAUUUUGGACGGGAGCUAUUGUACAGGCUAGUAAAUGUCAGCACGGCCCAGACGCUGACGGUGUGUGUGUGCUGGUGGUGGUGGGGGGGUGAG
rnacentral:lncRNA from 1 species